rnacentral:rRNA from 1 species
GUGGGGAAUUUUGGACAAUGGGCGAAAGCCUGAUCCAGCCAUGCCGCGUGCAGGAUGAAGGCCUUCGGGUUGUAAACUGCUUUUGUACGGAACGAAACGGCUCUUUCUAAUAAAGGGGGCUAAUGACGGUACCGUAAGGAUAAGCACCGGCUAACUACGAGCCAGCAGCCGCGGUAAUACGUAGGGUGCGAGCGUUAAUCGGAAUUACUGGGCGUAAAGCGUGCGCAGGCGGUGAUGUAAGACAGAUGUGAAAUCCCCGGGCUCAACCUGGGAACUGCAUUUGUGACUGUAUAGCUAGAGUACGGUAGAGGGGGAUGGAAUUCCGCGUGUAGCAGUGAAAUGCGUAGAUAUGCGGAGGAACACCGAUGGCGAAGGCAAUCCCCUGGACCUGUACUGACGCUCAUGCACGAAAGCGUGGGGAGCAAACAGGAUUAGAAACCCGAGUAGUCC